rnacentral:rRNA from 1 species
GACGAACGCUGGCGGCGUGCCUAAUACAUGCAAGUAGAACGCUGAAGAGAGGAGCUUGCUCUUCUUGGAUGAGUUGCGAACGGGUGAGUAACGCGUAGGUAACCUGCCUUGUAGCGGGGGAUAACUAUUGGAAACGAUAGCUAAUACCGCAUAACAAUGGAUGACACAUGUCAUUUAUUUGAAAGGGGCAAUUGCUCCACUACAAGAUGGACCUGCGUUGUAUUAGCUAGUAGGUGAGGUAAUGGCUCACCUAGGCGACGAUACAUAGCCGACCUGAGAGGGUGAUCGGCCACACUGGGACUGAGACACGGCCCAGACGCCUACGGGAGGCAGCAGUAGGGAAUCUUCGGCAAUGGGGGCAACCCUGACCGAGCAACGCCGCGUGAGUGAAGAAGGUUUUCGGAUCGUAAAGCUCUGUUGUAAGUCAAGAACGGGUGUGAGAGUGGAAAGUUCACACUGUGACGGUAGCUUACCAGAAAGGGACGGCUAACUACGUG